rnacentral:rRNA from 1 species
UGGUGGAGUGAUUUGUCUGCUUAAUUGCGUUAACGAACGAGACCUCGACCUACUAAAUAGUACAACGUAGGCCUUGCCUAUGUAUGCACUUCUUAGAGGGACUGUUGGUUUAAAGCCAAAGGAAGUUCGAGGCAAUAACA